rnacentral:rRNA from 1 species
UACCAGCACCCCGAGUGGUCGGGACGAUUAUUGGGCCUAAAGCAUCCGUAGCCGGUCUUGUAAGUCUUCCGUUAAAUCCACCUGCUUAACAGAUGGGCUGCGGAAGAUACUAUAGAGCUAGGAGGCGGGAGAGGCAAGCGGUACUCGAUGGGUAGGGGUAAAAUCCGUUGAUCCAUUGAAGACCACCAGUGGCGAAGGCGGCUUGCCAGAACGCGCUCGACGGUGAGGGAUGAAAGCUGGGGGAGCAAACCGG